rnacentral:lncRNA from 7 species
AGGGCCAAUCAUCAAACUCAUAACCAAUUAAGGCCCUUCUUUUUGGUUAUUCUCAUCAGAUAGGGGUCGGAGGGGACUGAGAAGGAUUAGAACAGAUUUUAACUUGUUAGUGAUUUAAACUCAUUCAAUCCUUUCGAAUCCACAUGGAUUGAGAUUAAAACAAAUAUGUCCUAAGGUUGUGGAUGAUUUACCUUAACAAAAAAAACUAGUGUAAUAGGAUUGGUUAUAUAUGUUGUGCUCCACGCAAUCAUUUUUCAAUUUGUUUUUGUAAGCCACGCGAUUUCCCCUGUCACACAUCAAACCCAAUUCCUAGCUCGUAGUGUGAUUUCCAAAUAACAUCAUCCAAAAGCCUAAGUACAUCGAUCUCUAGAUGUCACUACAACAAAAAAAUCAUUUACUUGUUUAAAUAAAGUGAUACGAAGAUAAACUUUUGUAUUGAAUUUGGAGAGAGAGAUAUAUAUAACUUUGAAGUUGAUAGUUUUUUUAUUUGAAACUAUUUGGAGAGAGAGAUAUAUAUAUGGUCCAAAAAUUUUAUCCGAUGAUGUCGGUCCUCCCAUGUUGAAAUUCGAAAUUUUUAAACGACCUUGUAUAGAAAACAACUAGAGCCACAAUUGUAGAUCUCGAAGAGGUAUGCAAUUUUUUUAGUUGACAUUUUUUUUACUCGCAAUCAAAUAUCUAACAAAAACUAUAU